rnacentral:misc_RNA from 1 species
AAGUCGUAACAAGGUUUCCGUAGGUGAACCUGCGGAAGGAUCAUUAACACGUAUGAAGCAGUGGCAUGGCUUCCCCAAGCAGUUAGUGAAUGACAGUGUCACUGACUGUGUAAGGAUAACGCCUCACGGUUGCUAGAGGUCGAUGUCACAGGGUCACCACGCCCCUUAAUCACUCCACUUGAAAAUGCCCCGCCUAGUGGUAACGCGCUAGGUAAAAAAAACCGAACAACUGUUAACAAUGGAUAUCUUGGUUCUC